CAAAAAGUAAGAAACCAAAACCAGAAACAUACCAAAAGGGAGACACUGGAGGAACGAUAGCCCAAGACAAGGUGUGUCUGAUUCUGAUGAUGAGCUGGAGCAGGAUUGGGGCAGGUGAGCCGGAACAUGGCAACCCAGUCAUAGCGCAGAAGGGCCAACUGACCGAGGCAGGCAGAUGGCUAGGAAGAGGAAGACCAGGCAGGAAACAGGGCCACCAAUCAGGAGCAAGGGACACUGGAGACACUGGAGACAGGGCAUAACAGGCCGUGGCACCCUCCCAUGUCCACAGCCUCUGCCUCCACUUCCUCGGACUCUGCUGGUUGCCCUACCGUCACCCUCUAUGAGGUGAUGAUGUGCUUCAAGUCAGCGAUGCUCUCAUCAAGGAAGCUCUAACAUGCAAAACAUCAUAUCGUAAUGAGUCCAAUGCAAUAUUCAUGUUUGUCUGUUAAUCAGAAAAACAAUAAAAAAUACAACACUAAA